AGCUUUGUACAGUGGCAGUAUCGUAGCCAAGGAGGUUUAUCCGAGGUGCGAUUCUUGCUAAUUGGAAACAAAGUGCAAGUCACAGCUGCUUCUGUCACCACAGGCACGAGGCACAUGCACACCUCCUUGACAAUGG
rnacentral:snRNA from 1 species